GCACAAGUCCCUCGCUUCGGAACGCAAGAGAGCAUUACUUUCCCAAAGAGCUACACGGUUCAUACUGAAGGAUGAUAUGAGAAAUUUUCACUUUUUGUCAAAACUUGUACUCUCAGCGGGCCCUCUAAGACCAACUCCAGCAGUCAAACAUUCAAAAACGACUCACUUUGAGAUUGAAAUAUUUGAUGCUCAAACAAGGAAACAGAUAUGUAUUCUGGAUAAGGUGACACAAUCAUCUACUAUUCAUGAUGUUAAGCAAAAGUUUCACAAAGCAUGCGGGCCUUUUUUGAAGGACUACAUUACCAUUCAAAGUAUUGCAGCUUCCUCCAUUGUCACACUGUAUGCUACAGACCUAGGUCAACAAGUCAGUUGGACCACAGUGUUUUUGGCUGAAUACACAGGACCUCUGCUAAUAUACCUCCUCUUUUAUUUGAGGAUCCCAUGUAUAUAUGAUGGAAAAGAGAGUGCUAGAAGAUUACGCCACCCAGUGGUACACUUGGCUUGCUUCUGUCAUUGUAUACACUACAUCCGAUACCUUUUGGAAACCUUAUUUGUUCACAAAGUUUCUGCAGGACACACACCUUUGAAAAAUUUGAUAAUGAGUUGUGCCUUUUACUGGGGAUUUACUUCUUGGAUUGCCUACUACAUUAAUCAUCCACUAUAUACACCACCAUCAUUUGGAAACAGGCAAAUCACAGUAUCUGCUAUCAAUUUUCUGAUUUGUGAAGCUGGGAAUCAUUUCAUCAAUGUAAUGUUGUCUCAUCCCAAUCACACAGGAAACAAUGCCUGUUUCCCAAGUCCAAAUUAUAACCCCUUCACAUGGAUGUUUUUCCUGGUUUCAUGUCCUAACUACACCUAUGAGAUUGGAUCAUGGAUUAGUUUCACAGUCAUGACACAAACACUGCCAGUUGGAAUUUUUACACUUCUGAUGAGUAUCCAGAUGUCUUUGUGGGCACAAAAGAAACAUAAGAUUUAUCUGAGAAAAUUCAAUUCAUAUAUUCAUAGAAAAUCAGCAAUGAUUCCAUUCAUAUUGU
rnacentral:lncRNA from 1 species